rnacentral:rRNA from 1 species
AUUGAACGCUGGCGGCAGGCCUAACACAUGCAAGUCGUACGAGCGGCGGACGGGUGAGUAAUGUCUGGGAAACUGCCUGAUGGAGGGGGAUCACUACUGGAAACGGUAGCUAAUACCGCAUACCAUCGGAUGAGCCCAUAUGGGAUUAGCUAGUAGGUGAGGUAAAGGCUGACCUAGGCGACGAUCCCUAGCUGGUCUGAGAGGAUGAGCAGCCGCACUGGGACUGAGACACGGCCCAGACUCAUACGGGAGGCAGCAGUGGGGAAUAUUGCAAAAUGGGCGCAAGCCGGAUGCAGCCAUGGCGCGUGUAUGAAGAAGGCCUUCGGGUUGUGAAGUACUUUCAGGGGGGAGGCGUUAACGGCAGAAGAAGCACCGGAUAACUCCGUGCCAGCGGCGGCGGUAAUAC